rnacentral:rRNA from 1 species
CCUACGGGAGGCAGCAGUGAGGAAUAUUGGUCAAUGGACGAGAGUCUGAACCAGCCAAGUAGCGUGAAGGAUGACUGCCCUAUGGGUUGUAAACUUCUUUUAUAAAGGAAUAAAACGAGGCACGUGUGCCUUUUUGCAUGUACUUUAUGAAUAAGGAUCGGCUAACUCCGUGCCAGCAGCCGCGGUAAUACGGAGGAUCCGAGCGUUAUCCGGAUUUAUUGGGUUUAAAGGGAGCGUAGAUGGGUUGUUAAGUCAGUUGUGAAAUUUUGCGGCUCAACCGUAAAAUUGCAAUUGAUACUGGCAGUCUUGAGUACAGUUGAGGUAGGCGGAAUUCGUGGUGUAGCGGUGAAAUGCUUAGAUAUCACGAAGAACCCCGAUUGCGAAGGCAGCUUACUAAACUGUGACUGACAUUGAUGCUCGAAAGUGUGGGUAUCAAACAGGAUUAGAUACCCGUGUAGUC